UCUCCGUUGGUGAACCAGCGGAGGGAUCAUUAGAAGAAAUAACUCUCUUCAAAACCUGUGGACCUAUACCUGUUGUAACAACGCCGUUCUUUCGGCGGGCUCACCGCGGCUCCGGGGCUUUCCUUCGGGGGAGUCUCGGCGCCUAGGCGCCCGCCGGAGGCGGCGAAACCAAACCCUUACUGUAUUCUAUGGCCUCUGUGAUUACAAAACAAAUAAGUCAAAACUUUCAACAAUGGAUCUCUUGGUUCUGGCAUCGAUGAAGAACGCAGC
rnacentral:misc_RNA from 1 species